UCAAAAUCAUCCACAUAUUUACUUUUGGAUGAGCAUUUUAACAUUGUACUUCAAGAAAUAUCAGGAUAAAUGAGUCUGAUUCUUUUUUUUUCUUGUAACCGAAGAAUUUUAAAAAAACACAGAUGGGCUCUGUAGCUUUAAGGAUUGUGUUGGCGAUACUAAGUUGGAGUUCUAGGUUAUGUGAGAUCCGUGUAGUGCAGGAUCCUAUUGUUUCUGGCUUGAAUGGAUCCACUGUCAAUUUAAGUUGUCAUGUUCAUAUGUCUGGGCAUAAGGUAGAGAG